UAGCGGAGGGGGCUAGCGUUGAUUCGGAAUUACUGGGCGUAAAGCGCACGUAGGUCGGCUUUGUAAGUUAGAGGUGAAAGCCCACGGGCUUAACCCUGGAAGUGCCUUUAGACUGCAUCGCUAGAAUUGUGGAGAGGGUAAGUGGAAUUCCGAGUGUAGAGGUGAAAUUCGUAGAUAUUCGGAAGAACACCAGUGGCGAAGGCGGACUUACUGGACACAUAUUGACGCUGAGGUGCGAAAGCGUGGGGAGCAAACAGG
rnacentral:rRNA from 1 species